UGGGUUAAGUCCCGCAACGAGCGCAACCCUCGCCUCUAGUUGCCAGCAUCGGUUUGGGCACUCUAGAGGGGACCUGCCGGCGACAAGUCGGAGGAAGGUGGGGAUGACGUCAAAUCAUCAUGCCCCUUAUGACCUGGGCUACACACGUGCUACAAUGGGCGGUACAAAGGGCUGCGAACCCGCAGGGGGAGCGAAUCCCAAAAAGCCGCUCUCAGUUCGGAUUGCAGGCUGCAACUCGCCUGCAUGAAGCCGGAAUCGCUAGUAAUCGCGGAUCAGCAUGCCGCGGUGAAUACGUUCCCGGGCCUU
rnacentral:rRNA from 1 species